CAGCGCCGCGGGAAUACAGAGGGUGCGAGCGUUAAUCGGAUUUACUGGGCGUAAAGCGUGCGUAGGCGGCUUUUUAAGUCGGAUGUGAAAUCCCUGAGCUUAACUUAGGAAUUGCAUUCGAUACUGGGAAGCUAGAGUAUGGGAGAGGAUGGUAGAAUUCCAGGUGUAGCGGUGAAAUGCGUAGAGAUCUGGAGGAAUACCGAUGGCGAAGGCAGCCAUCUGGCCUAAUACUGACGCUGAGGUACGAAAGCAUGGGGAGCAAACAGGAUUAGAUACCCGCGUAGUCCCUGUCUCUUAUACA
rnacentral:rRNA from 1 species